rnacentral:rRNA from 1 species
AUUGAACGCUGGCGGCAUGCCUUACACAUGCAAGUCGAACGGUAACAGGUCUUCGGAUGCUGACGAGUGGCGAACGGGUGAGUAAUACAUCGGAACGUGCCUAGUAGUGGGGGAUAACUACUCGAAAGAGUGGCUAAUACCGCAUGAGAUCUACGGAUGAAAGCAGGGGAUCGCAAGACCUUGUGCUACUAGAGCGGCCGAUGGCAGAUUAGGUAGUUGGUGGGAUAAAAGCUUACCAAGCCGCCGAUCUGUAGCUGGUCUGAGAGGACGAUCAGCCAGACUGGGACUGAGACACGGCCCAGACUCCUACGGGAGGCAGCAGUGGGGAAUUUUGGACAAUGGGCGCAAGCCUGAUCCAGCAAUGCCGCGUGCAGGAUGAAGGCCUUCGGGUUGUAAACUGCUUUUGUACGGAACGAAAAGCCCCGGGUUAAUACCCUGGGGUCAUGACGGUACCGUAAGAAUAAGCACCGGCUAACUACGUGCCAGCCGCCGCGGUAA